CAUGCAUGUAUAUCUUAUGUCUUUCUCACGGCCGAUAUUCCCGCCAUUUCUGGGGUACUGCCUCUUCCAGGUUUGAGAGUCUCCGCACCACGAAACGUUCUAGUACUGUAGUUGUUUACAGUUACAACUUUUAAAAGUCGCUUUUCACGUUAUUUGAAUUGUCUAGAAUCUUUUACGAGGGCGGGCAGUACCCCAAAAAUGGCGGAUUUUGGCCUUAUGCAAGAAAAGUUUAAUAAAACACGAUUUGUGUAUUUGCAAUACUCCUGUUUUAUAUUUAUUUUCAUUCUUCAGUUUCUAAACGAACAUGUAAGACAGCAGAAAUCCCCGAAAUUACCCAACACUGACCCUUGUUUUGACGGCCUAACACCAUCUAACCCUUAUCCUAAGCUCGACCAUGACACUAAUCCCAGCCCUCAAGGCCAACGCAAAUUACCAUGGGCAUGGACAAAAGUAACUAUAUAUGACUUCAGUUCGGUACAUUUUAUAUCGAUACAUUAUUAUUAUUUCGGUACAUUGGUGGUCUACUAAAAUAAAAUUAAAUGUGUUCAUUUUUAUUAUUUUAAUGCUCUUUCAGAGAGUGACCAUUGAUAAGGCAUGAUGAUAACUUGAUAACUUUUAUUUCACACUAUUUCAAGAUAAUACAAAAGAUACAAAUUGAUUUACAGAUGGAUAGAAAAUAUACAUAGAUUUAGAUAUUAAUACAUAGAAAGGAAGGGU
rnacentral:lncRNA from 1 species